CACACACAUGGCUCACGGAAAAUACGAUAUAUUACAAUUUUUGGAAACACAUGCGGAUUCGCAGGAACCUCUGAGAUAAUGAUUUAACACGUUAAGGGAAUGCUGGAGCGAAAGCUGAACUUAAUAAAGCGUGUCCAAAAAGAUCCUGGAUUUAUAAGCUGAACAUAAAGAAUGUCUUCCAACAGACACAGUAUGAUACGGUAUGACACGAUGCAUCAUUACAGUCUUGAUGUUCGCCAAUACAAGGAUGAGAUAAUCACUGUGUUGUACUAAGUGAGUCGCUUGUUAGAAAGCACCCAUAACCUUCUCUUACCAAAGGCAAACAAUUUUCUGCUACUAUAUUUUUUCUAUUUUUGUGGA